AGCGAACGCUGGCGGCAGGCUUAACACAUGCAAGUCGAGCGGGCACUUCGGUGUCAGCGGCAGACGGGUGAGUAACACGUGGGAACGUACCCUUCGGUUCGGAAUAACGCUGGGAAACUAGCGCUAAUACCGGAUACGCCCUUUUGGGGAAAGGUUUACUGCCGAAGGAUCGGCCCGCGUCUGAUUAGCUGGUUGGUGGGGUAAUGGCCUACCAAGGCGACGAUCAGUAGCUGGUCUGAGAGGAGGAUCUGCCACACUGGGACUGAGACACGGCCCAGACUCCUACGGGAGGCAGCAGUGGGGAAUAUUGGACAAUGGGCGCAAGCCUGAUCCAGCCAUGCCGCGUGAGUGAUGAAGGCCUUAGGGUUGUAAAGCUCUUUUGUCCGGGACGAUAAUGACGGUACCGGAAGAAUAAGCCCCGGCUAACUUCGUG
rnacentral:rRNA from 1 species